UACAGAGGGUGCGAGCGUUGUCCGGAAUCACUGGGCGUAAAGGGCGCGUAGGCGGCCUGAUAAGUAGGGGGUGAAAUCUUGCGGCUCGACCGCAAGACUGCCUUCUAAACUGUCAGGCUGGAGCACGGUAGAGGCAGAUGGAAUUCCCGGUGUAGCGGUGGAAUGCGUAGAGAUCGGGAAGAACACCAGUGGCGAAGGCGGUCUGCUGGGCCGUUGCUGACGCUGAGGCGCGACAGCGUGGGGAGCAAACAGG
rnacentral:rRNA from 1 species